rnacentral:tRNA from 1 species
UUCCUUGUGGUCCAGUGGUUAGGACUCUGUGCUUUCAUUGCCAAGGUCCCAGGUUCAAUCCCUGGUUGGGGAA